AGCGAACGCUGGCGGCAGGCCUAACACAUGCAAGUCGAACGGAUCCUUCGGGAUUAGUGGCGGACGGGUGAGUAACACGUGGGAACGUGCCCUUUGGUUCGGAACAACUCAGGGAAACUUGAGCUAAUACCGGAUGUGCCCUUCGGGGGAAAGAUUUAUCGCCAUUGGAGCGGCCCGCGUCUGAUUAGCUAGUUGGUGAGGUAAAGGCUCACCAAGGCAACGAUCAGUAGCUGGUCCGAGAGGAUGAUCAGCCACAUUGGGACUGAGACACGGCCCAAACUCCUACGGGAGGCAGCAGUGGGGAAUCUUGCGCAAUGGGCGAAAGCCUGACGCAGCCAUGCCGCGUGAAUGAUGAAGGUCUUAGGAUUGUAAAAUUCUUUCACCGGGGACGAUAACGACGGUACCCGGAGAAGAAGCCCCGGCUAACUUCGUGCCAGCCGCCGCGGUAA
rnacentral:rRNA from 1 species